rnacentral:lncRNA from 1 species
GAAACACUUGAAUAUUCCUUCCCUCCUAAAGGGAUUCGAAUUGUCAAAGAAUGUAAUGGCGAAAAUCAGCUGAACCACAAUCAAUAAGGGAAAAGAAAUAGAUCUCGAUCACAAAGAAAAUAAUAAAAGAUGGAAAUUAAAGACAGAGUGAGAAAGACAUUCGGCCAAAGAAAAAGAAGAGGAGAGAAAAGUGAUUCGGCCCGGCGGAGAAGAGAAGAGAAGAGAAAAGGGAUUCGGCCCCAACAAACAAAAAGGAAAAAAGAAAAGUAAAGAGAAGAAAAUGAAAUAAAUGAGCAAACCCGAGAGUAACUUCCAGUACUUGGCAAAAUUCAGCACCAAAACUAAAACGUAAAACCUAAAACUCACAGAAAUCGAAGCAGACUAAGAAAGAAACUCCAAAAAUAAACCAAAACCGAAUACCUUAAGUGAUAAAUGAUCAAAUUUGGCACAACUACCCUCCCAAAUCAAAUUCCUUGAUUUCUUCCCCAAACCUC